AUAUAUAAGAGAAAAAAUAUAAAAUUUUAUUUUAAAAAAAUAAAGUAGUCAUUAAUAUUGUAUAAAAACUACUAAUAUAAUUAGGGCGUGUUUGAUUUGCUUCUUUUUCACACUGGAAUCGGAAUGGACGAAUCCGUUUGUGGGUGUUUGGUACGCAGAAGUCCCAUUCCUAUUCCAAUUCCCGAGUGGAAUAGGAUUCUCCCAAUCAUCUUAUUUUUCAAUCCUGCCUAAGAGACCGGAUUGGAAGUUGAAUCCGGACGGAAUGAAUAUUUAUUCGGAUUAAAUUUAUUUUUACAACUUUUUUAAUUGAAAUAUGAGUUUAAAUUUAGAAAUUAAAUUUAUAAUUUUAAAUUUUAAUUGGAACUUGAAUUAAAAAUUAAAAUUUAAUCAAAUAUUUCGAAUCUAACUUAUGAAUUUGAAUUUAAAUUAAAUUUUAAUUUAUAUAAAGUUUGAUUCAAAUUUUAUUUAAAACUUAAAUUAAAUUUAUGGAUUCAAAUUAUAAUUUUAAGUUUGAAUUUGAAUAAAUCGAAAUUUAGUUUUAUAUUUUGAAUUAUCCACUCAACUUUAAAGUUUAAUUUUUUAAAAGAAAUAGAUUUAAAAUUUUGACAUUAUUUCAAAAUUUUGAUGUAAAUUUUUAAUAUUUAAUUUUUAGUUUGAAUCUAAAUUAAUAUAUUAUAAAGAUAAAGUUAGUAUAUUAAUUUGAUUACGUUUUUUAUAUCUUCCUGAGCCAAACACCGACAGUGAGAAUGAUUUAUUCCGAUUCCGAUUCAAGUCAUGAACCAAACAGAAUUAUGUAAUGAGUAAUUCCGAUUUCGAUUUCAGAUUAUUUCGAUUCCGAUUCUGAUUCCGAUUUCGACUUCCCUUUAGGGUGUGUUUGGUUCGAAGUUUUAACCGAUAUUGGAAUCGAAAUGAGAAUAAGCUAGAAACGGAAUCGGAAUGAUUCAUUAUCUAAAUCGGAAUCGGAAUGAAUUAUUCCCAUUAUCGGUGUUUGGUUCAGAUUGAUAUUAGAAAUAUAAUCAAAUUAAUAUACUAAUUUUAUCUUUAUAAUAUAUUAGUUUAAAUUCAAACUGAAAAAAUUAAAUAUUAAAAAUUUACGUCAAAAUUUUAAAUAUAUUUUAUAAUGAAUUAAAAUUUAAAUUGAACGAAUAAUUCAAAAUAUAAAACUAAAUUUCAAUUUAUUCAAAUUCAAACUUAAAAUUAUAAUUUAAAUUUUAAUUUGAAUCCAUAAAUUUAUUUAAAUUUUAAAUAAAACGUUAGAUUUAAAUUAAAUUUAAAUUUAAAUUCAAAUUUAGAAAUUAGAUUCGAAAUGCUUGAUUGAAUUUUAAUUUUUAAUUUAAGUUCAAAUUAAAAUUAAAAUGUAUACGACUACUAAUAAAUUCAAAACCAUAAUUCAGAAUCGACUAAACUACUACCAAAGGAAAAACCCAAAUACAAGUAAUCUCAAACUACAAUCACAUAAUUUUCCACAAUAGCCACAUAAUGAAAUAGGAGUAAUCUGAGGCUAGGAAUCGAGAUCCACACUACGAACUAUCUAGACGUUAACUAACCGCGUCCUCACACCGCGCCCCAAUCCGCACAAUCAGCAACAUCUGAAAAAAUA
rnacentral:lncRNA from 1 species